rnacentral:rRNA from 13 species
GUACCGUGAGGGAAAGGUGAAAAGAACCCUGAACAAGGGAGUGAAAUAGAUCCUGAAACCAUACGCUUACAAGCGGUCGGAGCCUUUAGGGGUGACGGCGUGCCUUUUGCAUAAUGAGCCUACGAGUUACCGUUACCAGCAAGGUUAAGCACUUCAGGUGUGGAGCCGUAGCGAAAGCGAGUCUGAAUAGGGCGAAUUAGUUGGUCAUGGUAGACGCGAAACCGUGUGAUCUACCCUUGGGCAGGUUGAAGCUGUGGUAACACACAGUGGAGGACCGAACCCGUUGACGUUGAAAAGUCUUGGGAUGACCUGAGGGUAGGGGUGAAAGGCCAAUCAAACUCGGAAAUAGCUCGUACUCCCCGAAAUGCAUUUAGGUGCAGCGGUAUAUUAGUUUUAUAGAGGUAGAGCUACUGAUUGGAUGCGGGGGCUUCACCGCCUACCAAUUCCUGACAAACUCCGAAUGCUAUAAAAUGAUCAUCAGCAGUGAGGGCAUGGGUGCUAAGGUCCGUGUCCGAGAGGGAAAGAACCCAGACCAUCAGCUAAGGUCCCCAAAUAUAUGUUAAGUUGAAUAAACGCGGUUGAACUGCUUAGACAGCUAGGAUGUUGGCUUGGAAGCAGCCAUUCAUUUAAAGAGUGCGUAACAGCUCACUAGUCGAGCGGUUCGGCAUGGAUAAUAAUCGGGCAUAAACAUAUUACCGAAGCUAUGGCAUAUUAAUUUAUAUUGAUAUGGGUAGGGGAGCAUUGUAACAACGUAGAAGGUGUAUUGCGAGGUACAUUGGAGUGGUUACAAAAGAAAAUGUAGGCAUAAGUAACGAUAAUGCGGGCGAGAAACCCGCACACCGAAAGACCAAGGUUUCCUCAGCUAUGCUAAUCAGCUGAGGGUUAGUCGGGUCCUAAGGCGAACCCGAAAGGGGUAGUCGAUGGCCAAGCAGUUAAUAUUCUGCUACUUGCCCCACGUUAAAAGCGGACGGAGGCGAAAAGUUGGUGCGUACUGACGGAAUAGUACGUUGAAUCCAGUGGUAACACGGAGAUAGUACACAAAAGCUACGGCCGGCGUGAUAAUCCAGCGGAUCGACUUCCAAGAAAAGCGAGUGGUGGCAACCCGUACCGUAAACCGACACAGGUAGUUGGGAUGAGAAUUCUAAGGUGCUCGAGAGAUUCAUGGCUAAGGAACUAGGCAAAAUAGGCCCGUAACUUCGGGAGAAGGGUCGCCCACAGCAAUGUGGGCCGCAGUGAAAAGGUCCAGGCGACUGUUUAUCAAAAACACAGGACUCUGCUAAAUCGAAAGAUGAUGUAUAGGGUCUGACACCUGCCCGGUGCCGGAAGGUUAAUUGAUGGGGUUAGACUUCGGUCGAAGCUCUUGAUCGAAGCCCCGGUAAACGGCGGCCGUAACAAUAACGGUCCUAAGGUAGCGAAAUUCCUUGUCGGGUAAGUUCCGACCUGCACGAAUGGCGUAACGACUUCCCCGCUGUCUCCAACAUCGACUCAGCGAAAUUGAAUUGCCUGUCAAGAUGCAGGCUUCCCGCGGUUAGACGGAAAGACCCCGUGCACCUUUACUACAGCUUUGCACUGGACUUUGACACAAUUUGUGUAGGAUAGGUGGGAGACGUUGAAGCGUAGGCGCCAGCUUGCGUGGAGUCACCCUUGAAAUACCACCCUGAUUGUUUUGGAGUUCUAACCCAGGUCCGUUAACCGGAUCGGAGACAGUGUAUGGUGGGUAGUUUGACUGGGGCGGUCUCCUCCCAAAGAGUAACGGAGGAGCACGAAGGUGGGCUAAACACGGUUGGACAUCGUGUGGUUAGUGCAAUGGCAUAAGCCCGCUUGACUGCGAGAAUGACAAUUCGAGCAGGUGCGAAAGCAGGUCAUAGUGAUCCGGUGGUUCUGUAUGGAAGGGCCAUCGCUCAACGGAUAAAAGGUACUCCGGGGAUAACAGGCUGAUACCGCCCAAGAGUUCAUAUCGACGGCGGUGUUUGGCACCUCGAUGUCGGCUCAUCUCAUCCUGGGGCUGGAGCAGGUCCCAAGGGUACGGCUGUUCGCCGUUUAAAGAGGUACGUGAGCUGGGUUUAGAACGUCGUGAGACAGUUCGGUCCCUAUCUGCCGUGGGUGUAGGAUACUUGAGAGGAGUUGCCCCUAGUACGAGAGGACCGGGGUGAACGAUCCACUGGUGGACCUGUUAUCGUGCCAACGGUAGUGCAGGGUAGCUAUGAUCGGAAAGGAUAACCGCUGAAGGCAUCUAAGCGGGAAGCCCCCCUCAAAACAAGGUAUCCCUGAGGGCCGUGGAAGACCACCACGUCAAUAGGCCGGAGAUGUAAGCGCAGCAAUGCGUUCAGUUGACCGGUACUAAUCGCCC